AUUGAACGCUAGCGGGAUGCCUUACACAUGCAAGUCGAACGGAGUGGCGAACGGGUGAGUAAUGUAUCGGAACGUUCCCAGUAGCGGGGGAUAACUACGCGAAAGCGUAGCUAAUACCGCAUACUAUUGGAGCGGCCGAUAUCGGAUUAGCUAGUUGGUGGGGUAACGGCUCACCAAGGCGACGAUCCGUAGCUGGUUUGAGAGGACGACCAGGCACACUGGGUCUGAGACUGAGCCGAGACACCUGCGGGAGGCAACAGUGGGAAAUUUUGGGCAAGGGGGGAAAGCGUGAGCCAGCCAUCCGGCGUGAGCGAUGAAGGCCUUCGGGUUGUAAAGCACGGUUGGCAGGAAAGCGGUACCUGAAAAAUAAGCACCGGCUAACUACGUGCCAGCAGCCGCGGUAAUAC
rnacentral:rRNA from 1 species